rnacentral:tRNA from 1 species
GGAAGCGCAAGGGGUCCGGUGACUCUCGCGGUCUUCAAAACCGCCGAUCGUUAUCUCUGAUGGCGAUGGUGGGUUCGACUCCCACUCGCUUCCGCCA